GAUUAACGCUGGCGGCGUGCCUAACACAUGCAAGUCGAACGGACCUUUAUUUUUGAGAAAUCUCUACCUCGAGGAGUCUCAUAAGUAAUGGUUAGUGGCGGACGGGUGAGUAACACGUUGGUACCUGCCCUCUAGUGGGGAAUAACUGGACCGAAAGGUCGGCUAAUACCGCAUGUGAUCUUCGGAUCAAAGCAUUUAUGCGCUAGAGGAGGGGCCUGCGUCUGAUUAGCUUGUUGGAGUGUAAUGGACUACCAAGGCGACGAUCAGUAGCUGGUUCGAGAGGAUGACCAGCCACACUGGGACUGAGAUACGGCCCAGACUCCUACGGGAGGCAGCAGUGAGGAAUCUUCCACAAUGGAACGAAA
rnacentral:rRNA from 1 species